UAUAUUCCGUAACUGAUGUUAUAGUGACCAUGAAUUUAUCAAAUGUUCCAGUAAUGUGUCAGAGCUGCUAUUUGAAGGCUACAGUGUGCCGGGAGUGAGCUAUGGAAUUGAUUCCUUGUUCAGUAUGUACAGGAACAACAUUCCAUGGAGACACAGCCCUCAUUGUCAACUGUGGUUACCAUACCAUACAUAUCAUACCUGUCAUCAGGGGGCAGGUUAUUGUGGAUCAUGCUAGAAGAAUCAAUUUGGGUAAGAAUAACUCCAUUAAAUUAAAUUGAAUAAUCCAAUCUUCUUAUACUACUUCUCCAUCAAGCUUUAUAGCAGACUAGCUUUUGCCCGCAACUUCGUUCGCGUGGAAUAGUGACUACCAGCAGAUUUUGAUUUGACCAAUAGAUGGCGCUAUAUGUCCGGAAUAAUUUUAUUUUUAUUUUUUUUUGUAAUAAAAACUAUCCUAUGUCCUUUCUCAAGUUUCAAACUAUGUCUGUACCAAAUUUCACACAAAUCGGUUCAGUAGUUUAGGCGUAAAGAAAAGACAGACAGACAGACAGACAGACAGAGUUACUUUCGCAUUUAUAAUAUUAGUUUGGAUGUACAAUUUUAUUGAUGAGUGUACCUUUAUUUUACAUACUUAUGCAUUUUACUAGAAAAGCUAAGUUUAACUGGUUUUGGUUCACUUUCCUAACAAGUUGAAAAUAUUUUUAAACAAUUUAUAUCAUUCCAGUCUCGAAUGGUCUCCCGUCCAUAAAUCCGCUAAGUUCUGGCGCGAGAACGCGGCCCGCCUCAACGAGCGCGGCCAGGAGUUGCUGCGGACGCUCGUGCACCUGCUGGAGAAGAGCUCCGACCCCGUCGUGCUGGCCGUGGCCUGCUACGACGUCGGCGAAUACGUGCGCCACUACCCUAGGGGCAAGCAGUAUGUAUAUGAUCUAUAUUCAUUUGUUUAUUAUUCGAUUUUCAACUUUAUUUGCUGGAGGGUAAGGUUAAACAGCUAAAGAGUUCUGACAAAGUCUUGGCUUUAACUGGCUGUGAUGUUGAGGAAUGUGUCUACUACUCCCCCACAGUAUGUACAUCCCGCCGGAAAAUAUUAAUUCCCACACUUCGAGAAGAAUAUCUUUAGAGAUAAUCUGUGCCCUUGUACAAUUGUUUCUAUUAUUUAUUCUUGUUUGUGUUUUUAUGUGUACAAGAACUAUUAAAUAAAUAAAGAAUUAUCUCUGGCCCAAGGUUGUAAUACUUAUAAAUGUGAAAGUUAGUUUGUCUUUUAUUUUUACAGCAAAAAGUGAUAAAUGCAUUUUGUAGAAAUUUUGCACUGAUAUAGAGAAUAACAUAUCCAUAUGCAUGUUUUUUAUCCAGGUGUUGGAUAGACAUAUUUUUUGUGUUGGUUUCUCUGUAACAACGGGAAUCAGGUAGUUUUUCCUACUAAAAAAGGUUAAUUAUAUAUCUAUUCCUAAUACAUAUUACUUUCUACAGUAUUAUCGAGCAAUUGGGUGGCAAACAGCGCGUGAUGUACCUGCUCAGCCACGAAGACCCCAACGUGCGAUAUGAGGCUCUACUCGCCGUCCAGAAAUUGAUGGUUCACAACUGGGAGUACCUUGGCAAGCAACUGGAGAAGGAACAGAUCGACAAGCAGGCUGGCACCGUUGUCGGCGCUAAGGCCUAAACAUGUUAUAUAUUGUAAAUGAAAUAUUUAAUUCGUUGUUAUUAUUGUUGUCUUGAAUGUACCAGGCAAUAUUACAGAUAUAGUAACUGCAUUACGUAAAACAUAAUGUAAAUAAUGUGCCUCUUUCCAUUCUGACAUAACAUGCAUCUGCGUAAUCUGUUAUUACAUGCCUAUUAUAGCUUAAAACAAUAAAAAUAGCACUAAAUUUUUUGAAAUAUUUAGUGUACACAUUC